rnacentral:rRNA from 1 species
GACGGGGGAUGCGAGCGUUAUCCGGAAUGAUUGGGCGUAAAGGGUCCGCAGGUGGCCCGGUCAGUCCGCUGUCAAAACCUGGGGCUCAACCCUGGAGAGGCGGCGGAGACCACCGGGCUUGAGUCCGGUAGGGGCAGAGGGAAUUCCCGGUGGAGCGGUGAAAUGCGUAGAUAUCGGGAGGAACACCAGUGGCGAAGGCGGUUACCUGGGCUUGUUCUGACGCUGAGGCACAAAAGCUGGGGG